GAUGAAGAACGUAGCGAAAUGCGAUAAGUAAUGUGAAUUGCAGAAUUCAGUGAAUCAUCGAAUCUUUGAACGCACCUUGCGCCCUUUGGCCAUUCCGAAGGGCAUGCCUGUUUGAGUAUCAUGAACACCUCAACUCUUCAUGGUUUUCCGUGAUGAGCUUGGACUUUGGGGGUCUUGCUGGCCUAUGGUCAGCUCCUCUAAAAUAAAUCAGCUUGCCAGUGUUUGGUGGGUAUCACAGGUGUGAUAACUAUCUACGCUUGUGGUUUUCCACCAGGUAACCUUCAGCAGUGGAGGUUCGCUGGAGCUCACAGAUGUGUCUCUCCUCAGUGAGGACAGCUCUUUGAAUGUUUGAUCUCAAAUCAGGUAGGACUACCCGCUGAACUUAAGCAUAUCAAUGAGCGGAGGA
rnacentral:misc_RNA from 1 species